AUCUACCAUAGAGGUCUACCCUAGAGGCUCAGUAUGACUUGACCAUGCAUAAACCAAGUUUCAGCAGAGCCUAGUUACAUCUUGGGCUUCUGCAAACUGAGAUUGUCAAUGGCAUGUUCCUGAAGCUCACCCUUAAUUGGAUCCUGAAAAUAUUUAUUAUUGAUCAGAUGCUGUCAGGUUUUUUUUUUUUUUUUUUUUUUUUUAAGGUCCCUAAUUGAUAAACCUUUGGUUGAUUGCUGUGGUUGAAGAAAAAUGUCUACCUUUCCUCAAGUACAAAGUUUGGAAUUACAUUUGGAAAAUGAUUGGAAAAUUGUUGUGAGCCUGAGGGUGUGGCAACACGAGAAAUCAAUAGAAAACAGAAUCUUUGAAGUUGACAGCAUCUCUGAUGAAAUCUUCAAGGAGUUCCGCAUGAGAGGCCUCUGAAGACUGAAGAUGCCAAUGAUGACAGAGAUGUUCAUGGAGAAACUGGGCAUUCAGAAAGGAACAAUGCAGGUUUUCCAAGCAAGGGAAAAGAUAUGAGCAGAGGUAUGGAUGGGAAAUAUGUAAUUGAUCUUUUGCAGUACAAUUACAUUUAGUUUUAUUGGCAUGGAAAUGUGUAAUUGUGAUUUGGGAAAGAGGGUGUGGUUAUAUUAAUGUGUAGGACUUUGAUUGCCAGGUCAAGGAAUUGAAAUAAAGGGAUGCCAUUGAAAGUUUUAAAAAAUAAU
rnacentral:lncRNA from 1 species